rnacentral:sRNA from 1 species
UCUGGUAUAGAUAUAAUUAUUCGGCAGUGCGCUGGGGUGGUUGGCGAGGCUUCUCUCAAUAUAGCCUUCAGCCGUGGCAAAUAACAUCCGCAUGAAGGUUUCGUGACAGUACGAUUUCGGUUGUUUCAUGUCAUGGAAUAUUCAUUGGCCGCGGCAAUUUGGACCAGCUAAUAGGGCGUGCGCUGAAAGUGCGCGUCUCUUUUACGUUCGAGGUUCUCAUGCAAGCCAAGCUUCUCGGCGCCGUUGGCGCCCUUCUCGCUACAGCGUUUCUUGCUGGUCCCGCUGCCGCCGCCGAUA